UACGGAGGGAGCUAGCGUUGUUCGGAAUUACUGGGCGUAAAGGGCUCGUAGGCGGCCAACUAAGUCAGACGUGAAAUCCCUCGGCUUAACCGGGGAACUGCGUCUGAUACUGGAUGGCUUGAGGUUGGGAGAGGGAUGCGGAAUUCCAGGUGUAGCGGUGAAAUGCGUAGAUAUCUGGAGGAACACCGGUGGCGAAGGCGGCGUUCUGGACUGCAACUGACACUGAGGAACGAAAGCCAGGGGAGCAAACGGG
rnacentral:rRNA from 1 species